rnacentral:rRNA from 1 species
GGGGAGGUACGUUAUCGGAUUACUGGGGCGAAAGCGCACGCAGGCGGUCUGUCAGUCGGAUGUGAAAUCCCCGGGCUCAACCUGGGAACUGCAUUCGAAACUGGCAGGCUUGAGUCUUGUAGAGGGGGGUAGAAUUCCAGGUGUAGCGGUGAAAUGCGUAGAGAUCUGGAGGAAUACCGGUGGCGAAGGCGGCCCCCUGGACAAAGACUGACGCUCAGGUGCGAAAGCGUGGGGAGCAAACAGGAUUAGAUACCCUGGUAGUCCACGCCGUAAACGAUGUCUACUUGGAGGUUGUGCCCUUGAGGCGUGGCUUCCGGAGCUAACGCGUUAAGUAGACCGCCUGGGGAGUACGGCCGCAAGGUUAAAACUCAAAUGAAUUGACGGGGGCCCGCACAAGCGGUGGAGCAUGUGGUUUAAUUCGAUGCAACGCGAAGAACCUUACCUGGUCUUGACAUCCACAGAACUUUCCAGAGAUGAAUUGGUGCCUUCGGGAACUGUGAGACAGGUGCUGCAUGGCUGUCGUCAGCUCGUGUUGUGAAAUGUUGGGUUAAGUCCCGCAACGAGCGCAACCCUUAUCCUUUGUUGCCAGCGAUCCGGUCGGGAACUCAAAGGAGACUGCCAGUGAUAAACUGGAGGAAGGUGGGGGAUGACGUCAAGUCAUCAUGGCCCUUACGACCAGGGCUACACACGUGCUACAAUGGCGCAUACAAAGAGAAGCGACCUCGCGAGAGCAAGCGGACCUCAUAAAGUGCGUCGUAGUCCGGAAUUGGAGUCUGCAACUCGACUCCAUGAAGUCGGAAUCGCUAGUAAUCGUGGAUCAGAAUGCCACGGUGAAUACGUUCCCCGGGCCUUGUACACACCGCCCGUCACACCAUGGGGAGUGGGUUGCAAAAAAAAGUAGGUAGCUUAACCUUCCGGGAGGGCGCUUACCACUUUUGUGAUUCAUGACUGGGGGUGAAAUCUACAGAGGGAACCCCCCCCAAAAAAAGGGGGGGAGGAGAGGGCAGGGGUUUUUUUCCUCCGGGGGAAAAAAAAAAAUUGGGGGGGUUUUUUAAACACCCCCCCCCCCCUCCCCCCCCCCAAAAAAAAAAUUUUUUUGGGGG